AUGGCGCGUGCAGAAUUUGUGAAAGCGAAAAAGAAGACGAAGGAGAAGCAAAGAGGACGGAAUACUGCGGUGCUAGGGUGCAGCUGGAGUCCAGAAAUGAUUUUUUUCGGUGAAUUUAGGAUUUUGCCGCAGUAUACAUCUGCAGUCCCAGAAUCCUCCGGUAAGUUAAUCCUUCUUGCGAUGGGAAACGCCUUUAACCUUCUUGUGAAUGAAAUAUCUGCAACCAUUUUGAAAUUUUUAAUAGAGGGGUGUGUGUGUGUGUGUGUGUGUGUGCGUGUGUUGCGGGUGUGUCUCCGAAGCAUGAUUUCUUAGAAAUGCAGCGGUUCUUUUCUGAGUUCUUAGAAACAUUGAGAAACAUACAUACCUUCAUGUUCUUUGCAUAUCAUGGAUGAAGUCUCCAUUGCUUCUCCUUCAUACUUUGUACGGUAGCCAUUAAAAUAUACUUCAUCAGUAUGGCAAACCAGUGAAGGCCUCGAGAACACAUACCUCCAAGCAUGUAGGGUGUUCCUGACAUAACUGAAGUGACCAGGCCACAGCAACCACCAUGGCCACUGCCUCCCGCCACCUUCAGCGCCCCUCCCUCGCUCUGCAGUGUACAUCAGCUGCAGGCUUUCCACAGCGGCUUUUCGCCGAACUUGCCCAGUGGGUUCCUAGAUUACUUGUGUGCGAGAAUAGCCAACCAUGUAGUCUGACAAGAGGUAUUUACAACUACUUAGCCUGUUCAGCUGGAAAGAAAUCAAAAGAUAACACUGAACCCUGAGAUGAGUAUUACAAAUCAAAAGUCCCAAUCCAUAAAUAGCCCACUUGAUGAACUGCUGAAUGAGAAGCUGGUCCGGAUUGCUGUCCAGUGUUUUUACAUCGUCAUAAGAAAUAUUCUUAACAAGCCUUCUUAGAGAGUUGGGAUUGUUUUUAAAUGCAUGGAAUAUUAUUCUUACCUUUCUGCUGGGUGGGGAGCCUUCCAAGGGGACUUGGAUGUAGAGUCCGAGAGAGACCACACCCUAGCUUCACGGCUUGUUUUCUACGGUUUCUGCUUCUCUUAAAAUAGGGUUCACAGUCACAAUUUUACAUUAAUUUAAGAGACCUAAUCAAAAGGAGCCAGUCAUCGGUUCCCUCUCUCUAAGGGAAGCUCAUUGUCUUAGGUGCUCAAUAAAUGUUUAAUUAAUGGAUUUGAUAGAGUUAAGGAUCCAAAAAGUGAACGAACCUUCUUUACAACGCUGGCGUGAUUCAUAUUUCUGUCUGAAGUGUGAAAUAAUCCGGGCUGCUUUUUUUUCUCUCUCUCUUUCUCUUAAAGGUAAUUCAAAAGCAUCUGUUUUAGGGAAGGGAUGCCUUACAUUCAAGUUCUGUCUUCUACUGCUUGAUAUGCCAGUGGCCUGAUAGCAUGACAAGAAAUAUCUUCUCUCUUAAACUAGCUGGAGACGCUUGGUUUCUAAGAACACAGCUUAAAAAUUAGAACCACUUGCCUGUCGCCAUUUCAUAAAAUUAAUUUAUGUCAAACCCAGGAUGACUGGUUCUAGAAGGAAAAGGCUUUUAGAUAACCAACUGUUUUUAUGAAAUGUAUUGUCCAAGGUCAAUUUUUAAAAAAUUAUUUAACAAAAUUUCUUACUUCACCAAACUCAGGUAUUUUGAUGUUGUAUUUUGCUUUGGUUUAAUGAUAGUAUUUGUCUUCAUUCCAUAGAAGUUAUUCAGCUCAUAUUUUUGGUGAGACAACUGGAACAAUUUCUGCCUUAUGAAACAUGCAAAUAAAAAUUAGGAGCAAUGCUAAGUUUAACUAACUUGCUUUAAUGCUAGUCAACCCGUAAUUCUUCAGUGAACUUAUUAUGAUGGGAAAAACAGCAUGUUGCAUUGUUGCAAAUUUUACCUUUUUUUUUUUUAAUAACAUGUAUUUGUUUAUGGUGUCAAUACGGAUUAAAAAUCUGAAUUCUAAAUUUGAAGUAUUUAAACUAUAGAAAAAUGAUUCCAUUAUUUUGGUAAUGGAACACAGAAACAGAAAUAUAGAAAUGUUUUUUUACUUUAGAUCUUCCAAUGGUGCAGAUAUUUCUUAGCCAAUUUCAAGAGUGCCUUAUUCAACAACAAAAAAACUGCAUAUAGGAAAACAACAUUAAAAAAAAAACCCUUCAAAAGUGGUGAAUCUGUCGUCUGAUUUUGAAUGUAUGACUUUAAUCAAAUCAAUUGCAUAUUCCUUAACUCUGCAAAUGACAAUUAAAAUUAGGACUCAGUACCUGAAAACGCCAUUUAUACUUGUGAGUUUGUAUUAGAAACAUGGCUUUAAUGAAAUACCUUUUUCGGUUCAAUCUUUGAAUUGUGAGUACAACCAAUAGCUAUACUUAAUUCUACAGAAUUACUAAGGAAAGAUACUAAUGAGAAGGUCUUUCUAGACAAUGGAUCUCACGGAACGUCAUCUUAGUGUGUGGACUUUUUCCACUGCAGUGGCCCACAUGUGCUAUGGUGACAGACGGCAGUUGGCAUUACCAUUUAUAUAGUAAAAUAUCUUUAAGACAAAAAUAAAAGUUAUUUCAAGAAUAUGCUGUCCCUGAAACAUGAGCUAUGCCUUAAACUACAUAUCCUACCUCCAUGAGUGAAUACGUAAGUGGGUUUCCUGCCAGCAUGUAUGUGUAAAGACCUAUUGUUUGCAUGUAUUAAUUGCGGUCCUGGGAUAAAAGCACAGACGUAACUUUCACUGCUGCUUUUUGUACUCUCUCCAAUGUUUUGGAGGAAAAAUAAGCACAAACAAUAGAAUAGAGAAAGUGAAGCGAUCGUAAUUGUUGCAGCUUUGACAAACGCCAAUUUUGCUGCAUUACAAUGGGAAACAUUUUUCAGCCUAUCAAAAUUAAUUAAAAAACGUUUUUAAAGUCAGUUAAAAAUAUUAGAGGCUGUCUAAUCGAUCGCUUUUUCUAUAAACAUACUUUGGUUUCUCAAGUAAUACCGUAAAAACCUUCUUCUCCAAAGAAAAAAUCCCCACAAAUAAAUCUAUUGAUACCUAGUGACAAGUGGAACCAGAUAAAAAUGGA
ensembl:lncRNA